ACCCAGAGCUGGGUAGCUCAGUUGGAAGAGUACCUGAUCAGUAAUCAGGGGGUCGCAGGUUCGAAUCCUGCUCUGGGUG